rnacentral:rRNA from 1 species
AUUGAACGCUAGCGGGAUGCUUUACACAUGCAAGUCGAACGAGUGGCGGACGGGUGAGUAAUAUAUCGGAACGUGCCCAGUAGCGGGGGAUAACUACUCGAAAGAGUGGCUAAUAACGCAUACUAUUGGAGCGGCCGAUAGCGGAGUAGCUGGUUGGGGGGGUAAGGGCUCACCAGGGCAACGAUCCGUUGCUGGUUUGAGAGGACGAACAGCCAUACUGGGACGUGGACACGGACACGACUCCUACGGGAGGCAGCAGUGGGGAAUUUUGGACAAUGGGUGAAACCCUGAUCCAGCCAUCCCGCGUGUAUGAGAAGGCCUUCGGGUUGUAAAGUACUUUUGGCAGAGAAGCGGUAUCUGCAGAAUAAGCACCGGCUAACUACGUGCCAGCAGCCGCGGUAAUAC